rnacentral:rRNA from 1 species
GACGAACGCUGGCGGCGUGCUUAACACAUGCAAGUCGAACGGAAAGGCCCUGCUUUUGUGGGGUGCUCGAGUGGCGAACGGGUGAGUAACACGUGAGUAACCUGCCCUUGACUUUGGGAUAACUUCAGGAAACUAGGGCUAAUACCGGAUAGGAGCUCCUGCUGCAUGGUGGGGGUUGGAAAGUUUCGGCGGUUGGGGAUGGACUCGCGGCUUAUCAGCUUGUUGGUGGGGUAGUGGCUUACCAAGGCUUUGACGGGUAGCCGGCCUGAGAGGGUGACCGGCCACAUUGGGACUGGGAUACGGCCCAGACUCCUACGGGAGGCAGCAGUGGGGAAUAUUGCACAAUGGGCGGAAGCCUGAUGCAGCAACGCCGCGUGCGGGAUGACGGCCUUCGGGUUGUAAACCGCUUUCGCCUGUGACGAAGCGUGAGUGACGGUAAUGGGUAAAGAAGCACCGGCUAACUACGUG